GAUGAACGCUAGCGGCAGGCUUAACACAUGCAAGUCGAGGGGCAGCGAGAGAGUAGCAAUACUUUGUCGGCGACCGGCGGACGGGUGCGUAACGCGUAUGCAACCUACCUUAUACAGGGGGAUAACCUUUCGAAAGGGAGACUAAUACCGCAUAACAUUACUUUGAGGCAUCUUGAGGUAAUUAAAUCUUCGGAGGUAUAAGAUGGGCAUGCGUAGCAUUAGCUAGAUGGUGCGGUAACGGCGUACCAUGGCGACGAUGCUUAGGGGUUCUGAGAGGAAGGUCCCCCACACUGGUACUGAGAUACGGACCAGACUCCUACGGGAGGCAGCAGUGGGGAAUAUUGGGCAAUGGGGGAAACCCUGACCCAGCAACGCCGCGUGAAGGAAGAAGGUCUUCGGAUUGUAAACUUCUGUCCUUAGGGAAGAUAAUGACGGUACCUUUGGAGGAAGCCCCGGCUAACUACGUG
rnacentral:rRNA from 1 species